rfam:Drosophila ananassae strain TSC#14024-0371.13 Ctg01_19541, whole genome shotgun sequence.
GACCGUGUGGCCUAAUGGAUAAGGCAUCGGACUUCUGAUCCGAGGAUUGCAGGUUCAAGUCCUGUCACGGUCG